UAGUGUGACGAAGAAGCGUAGUGCAUCUGGACUUCGACAAGGAAAACCUCCUGUUUGGUAUUUAGUCGAGUGUCCGGUACAAGAAGGUGGACUUGCGUGUGGGUAUUACGUCAUGAGGUUCAUGCUCGAUAUCGUCAACUAUUGCAAAGAUGUUGGUGAUCUUCGAAAGGUUUAUGCGAAUUCCACACCACGUUUGAGGAACUUCACCAAAGAAGAAAUUGAUGAAGUUCGGGAUAAGUUGGCGUCCCACAUUACCGAUGAUUGCUUAGGAUGA